AACGAACGCUGGCGGCAGGCUUAACACAUGCAAGUCGAGCGCCCCGCAAGGGGAGCGGCAGACGGGUGAGUAACGCGUGGGAACGUACCCUUUGCUACGGAAUAGCUCCGGGAAACUGGAAUUAAUACCGUAUGUGCCCUACGGGGGAAAGAUUUAUCGGCAAAGGAUCGGCCCGCGUUGGAUUAGCUAGUUGGUGGGGUAAUGGCCUACCAAGGCGACGAUCCAUAGCUGGUCUGAGAGGAUGAUCAGCCACGUUGGGACUGAGACACGGCCCAAACUCCUACGGGAGGCAGCAGUGGGGAAUAUUGGACAAUGGGCGCAAGCCUGAUCCAGCCAUGCCGCGUGAGUGACGAAGGCCUUAGGGUUGUAAAGCUCUUUCACCGGAGAAGAUAAUGACGGUAUCCGGAGAAGAAGCCCCGGCUAACUUCGUGCCAGCCGCCGCUGUAACAC
rnacentral:rRNA from 1 species